rnacentral:rRNA from 1 species
AACGAACGCUGGCGGCAGGCCUAACACAUGCAAGUCGAACGCCCUAGCAAUAGGGAGUGGCAGACGGGUGAGUAACACGUGGGAACCUUCCCUAUACUACGGAAUAGCCCAGGGAAACUUGGAGUAAUACCGUAUACGCCCGAGAGGGGAAAGAUUUAUCGGUAUAGGAUGGGCCCGCGUCGGAUUAGCUAGCUGGUGAGGUAAUGGCUCACCAAGGCGACGAUCCGUAGCUGGUUUGAGAGAACGACCAGCCACACUGGGACUGAGACACGGCCCAGACUCCUACGGGAGGCAGCAGUGGGGAAUAUUGGACAAUGGGCGCAAGCCUGAUCCAGCCAUGCCGCGUGAGUGAUGAAGGCCUUAGGGUUGUAAAGCUCUUUUGCCGGGGACGAUAAUGACGGUACCCGGAGAAUAAGUCCCGGCUAACUUCGUGCCAGCCGCCGCGGUAA